rnacentral:rRNA from 1 species
GUAGGUGGCAAGCGUUGUCCGGAAUUAUUGGGCGUAAAGCGCGCGCAGGCGGUUCUUUAAGUCUGAUGUGAAAGCCCACGGCUCAACCGUGGAGGGUCAUUGGAAACUGGAGAACUUGAGUACAGAAGAGGAAAGCGGAAUUCCACGUGUAGCGGUGAAAUGCGUAGAGAUGUGGAGGAACACCAGUGGCGAAGGCGGCUUUCUGGUCUGUAACUGACGCUGAGGCGCGAAAGCGUGGGGAGCAAACAGGAUUAGAUACCCUGGUAGUCCACGCCGUAAACGAUGAGUGCUAAGUGUUAGGGGGGUUUUCCGCCCCCCUUAGUGCUGCAGCUAACGCAUUAAGCACUCCGCCUGUGGAGUACGGCCGCAAGGCUGA